GAGAGCUGGCCGGCGCCGACCCGGCCUGGGGCAGCGGCCGCAGCUCCCCGCCCGGGACCGCGCAAAAAGGCCCAAGGUCCCGGGCCGCACUCACCGAAGUCCAGGAACUGCUUCAUGGAGAGCGGGGACGGCGAGAAGCGCGCGUAGAAGUCCACCUGGCCCGGAACGCCGCGCUCGGACGCCGGGCUGGAGCCCGAGUCCGAGCUGAAGCUGCGGCUGAAGCCGGCGGCGCGCAGCCCCGGGCCCGGGCCGGCCAAGGCGGCUCCGCGAAGCAGCCGCGCCAGCCUCAUGCCGAGUCCCGCUAGAGAAGCCACAGCCAGUACGCCAGGUUUCCCCGCGCCUCUGCCGAGUGGGAAGAGAUUACUGCGUUCAGCACAGGGACAUCUACAAAGAAGGGAAGAAGAAACAGGGACAGACCAGUGAAGCAAUAGAAUAGUUACGUGGUUGUCAUUCUCCAGCUGGGAUUGAGAACAAGGGGAAGCUGGCCAUAGAGCCAGGUGACCAAAGAUGGAAGACAAAGGGUGGGCUGUGAUUCCCAGAGCUCCAAGCCUUGUUCUGUCUUGUCACACCAACUGUUACUGAUGAACAGGUUUACAAUCUUUGAGGCCUGGCUGACUCAUGGAACAACUAGGACAAGAAACAAAGACAAAGAACACACACCUGACUGGACAGAGAUAAACCAAGAGCUGAGAGUUUUGGAAACAAGGCUGGAGCUGAGGAAAAGGACUGGGAACACGAACCUGUACAAACAACAAAUUCUUACAACAGAAAACAAGCCACUCCUGGCCAUCAAGAAACCCACAAAUCUCAGAAGCAAAAGCAAAACAAAUGAAAAUACAAACCAAAUAGUCUCUAUUACCUUCAUGCCUGUUGGGUCCCAAUAAAGGAAUCAUUCCAAUAAAGGAUUCAACAUAUUUUUUUUAAACCAAUAUCAU
rnacentral:lncRNA from 1 species